CCUACGGGUGGCAGCAGUGAGGAAUAUUGGUCAAUGGCCGGAAGGCUGAACCAGCCAUGCCGCGUGAAGGGCAGGGCCCUAUGGGCGUUAAACUUCUUUUGUGCGGGAGCAAUAAUGGUCACGUGUGGCCAGACGAGAGUACCGUACGAAUAAGCAUCGGCUAACUCCGUGCCAGCAGCCGCGGUAAUACGGGGGAUGCAAGCGUUAUCCGGAUUUAUUGGGUUUAAAGGGUGCGUAGGCUGUGAGGUAAGUCAGCGGGGGAAUGCCCCCGCUCAACGGGGUGAAGUGCCAUUGAUACUGCCUUGCUGGAAUGCGGAUGCCGUGGGAGGAAUGUGUGGUGUAGCGGUGAAAUGCAUAGAUAGCGCGCAGAACCCCGAUUGCGAAGGCAGCGUACCGGCUCCACACUGACGCUGAGGCACGAAAGCGUGGGUAUCGAACAGGAUUAGAUACCCUUGUAGUC
rnacentral:rRNA from 1 species